rnacentral:rRNA from 1 species
UACGGAGGGAGCUAGCGUUGUUCGGAAUUACUGGGCGUAAAGCGCGCGUAGGCGGCUUUGUAAGUUAGAGGUGAAAGCCCGGGGCUCAACUCCGGAACUGCCUUUAAGACUGCAUCGCUUGAAUCCGGGAGAGGUGAGUGGAAUUCCGAGUGUAGAGGUGAAAUUCGUAGAUAUUCGGAAGACCACCAGUGGCGAAGGCGGCUCACUGGACCGGUAUUGACGCUGAGGUGCGAAAGCGUGGGGAGCAAACAGG